UGUACUCCCUUUCAAGCAUUCACAAACACAAUUUAAAAUUCUUAUUUUAAAAGAAACCAACAACACACUCUCCUUCCUAAAAACCAUCGGCUAUUCUCUCUCUCUACUGAGUUCUUUCCCAAACAUUGAACAGAAGUUUAAAACUCUACUUGAAACUCAGUACCCAUCCACAAAUAAACCCCGUCGGCUCUCCCUCUCUCUCCCAGAAUCGCAACACCGAAAGAAUGAGAAAAAAAGAUUAGAACUCCGUCGCUUGCUCCAAAUCGCCGCUGCACCGGAGUCGACGCCGCUGCUGACUCCGAUUCGUCGCCCACGGAAGCUCCAGGUGCCGCCGCUGUCUCCGGCCGAACGGCAGCUGUCCCUCCUCCGUCUCUACCCUUCUUUCUUUCUCUCCGGUAGGGAUUAUAUUUUUCAGUUGAGACAGAGGGCUAAGGUGAUUUAAAAUUAUCCUAAAUGAGUGCAAGGAAUUUAAUGCUAGGAAUUGAUCGGUGGUUACCUUCUUAGUCGUGCUUCUCAAGAUUUAUUUCAGUUACUACUCAAAGUAAGGCAAAACAGAGGUAUUAUUUCGUAUGGUUUUGUUUGUGGAGGAAGAUUUUGUAACUUUUAUAAAAAUUGGUAUUUCAAAGUGAUUACUUAUAUAACUUUUGUACGAAAAUAACCUUAAAUGUUUGGUGUAUUCAAACUUGAAAUACAUAUUGUAUUACUUUGUAGACUAUUAAUUAUUUGUAUGACUGUCUGCUUCUUUUGUAGUAUAAAAUGUCAAGAUUUGAAGGAGAAGCUUCAUCAAGUUUUACCUUUAGUGUGCAGCCGAAGAUAUCUGCAUUCAUGUAAACAAGAACUUCAGUCAAAGUGGAUUAGUCAGAUCUUAAAAUUUCUCUUAUUGUAAUGCUGAUUAUUAAAAUAUUGUUCAUUGAAAUAAUGAUUUGAUUUUAAUUUUUUAAUUUUUAUUACUAUA